UACAGAGGUCCCAAGCGUUGUUCGGAUUCACUGGGCGUAAAGGGUGCGUAGGUGGUGAGGUAAGUCGGAUGUGAAAGCUCCGAGCUCAACUCGGAAAUGGCAUUGGAAACUACCUUGCUCGAGGGUUUGAGGGGGGACUGGAAUACUUGGUGUAGCAGUGAAAUGCGUAGAUAUCAAGUAGAACACCAGUGGCGAAGGCGGCAUCCUGGACCGGCAUUGACGCUGAGGCGCGAAAGCGUGGGGAGCAAACAGG
rnacentral:rRNA from 1 species